ACUUCUUUCACUUCGUUUAUAACAGGGGGAGCAAGAAGUUUGGAAUUGUCUUCUCAAAGAGGCCAUUCAUGCCUGUGAAGAAAAAGUCUCUUCUAGAUUGGAAUUGUUCUUCAAAGUAUUGAAUAAAGGUCACAAAAGGAACAUCGAUGAUGGCAAUGCCCCACACGGCCACAAAGAAAGCAGAUUCCAAGCAAGCUUUUAUAUCUGUAAAUGGGCUAGGUAGUGGAACUAACAAAAUAGCCAGCUUUUAAAGGCCUUUCCAUGUCUAUGAUAACCUUUAGACGAAAGUAUUUUACAUGGAUGGGUUUUAAUAGAUUUACAUGUCAAAAAGGAGGCACCAAUUUGCUGGGUUCUCUCUAUGUUGGUCAUUUCAAAAGGCAGAUUAUGUACUUGAGGGUAGACUUCAGUUCUGGUAAUAAUGGAAGUGCACUGGUCUCUACCUUCACUCCAUUUUGCAAACAUGAGCCAUUGGUAAAACACAUACCAAGGACCAUUGUUCCUAACAUUGUCAUAGUCAUUUUGAUAUUAGGUCUGAAGGCCUUGACUAAGAGGCUGGACAAGAAGACUAUUUUCAUUGACCCCCCCAACUAUCAUGACUUAUAAGUGGGAUGUUUGGAAUCGUGGCCGUUUUUCAAAAAACGGUACCACAUCAGAUCCACAUAAGCGUUUCAACAAAUGCCCAUGUAUCUCAUUAUUUGGUUCAGUCAAUUAUCAAAAAAUUGGACAUGCCGAAAAUCGGGGGACCACCAAUGCAUGAAACGCCAAAUUUAGCUUUUCAUGCAUCGGUGAACCGUUGCUCCCAACGGUUAACUGAACUAGCAAAAAGUGGCUCCUACAUGGCACUUAUGUGUAAUCUGAGUUGGCAUUAGUGGUUAUGUUCCAGUGCUUCUCGGCCCAUCGGAACAUUAACCCAAUAAAUGGUAGGGUUAGACAGUCCUCUUCUUUCUUCUUGCCGCCGAACAUCCCAAAGCCUCUGUAACCUCUGGCUCACCGAAAGUAUCUUCGUUACUACCGUCGCCGGAAGAGGUUGGUUGUCGCCUGAGGAAUUUGGUCGUAGCCGGAAGAGAUGGUUAUGAAAAUGACUCAGUUGAUGACGGUUCAAGUGGCGAUGAUGAUGAUGAAAAGCACACUGCAUCUGCACUAGGUUCGAGCAGAGAGAUGGACAUGGUUAGAAACCGAAUUUCUUCUGAGCUAUGGAAGAAGUACCAAAGAUCUACCCAGUGGGAUACAUAGAUUUGUGGCUUAUAUCGAAACAUGUGAAACAUGAUGUUAUGUUUCUGACGAAGAAAAUGUUGGAAUUCAAACUGUGAUGAGUUUUAUGUUUGUUAUGGAUUAAGCUUCUUUAUUGCUUUAUAUAUUUUAAACUGUGAUAAGUUUAUGUAUUUUUAUGCUCA